rnacentral:rRNA from 1 species
UACGGGGGGGGCAAGCGUUGUUCGGAAUUACUGGGCGUAAAGGGCUCGUAGGUGGCCAACUAAGUCAGACGUGAAAUCCCUCGGCUUAACCGGGGAACUGCGUCUGAUACUGGAUGGCUAGAGUUUGGGAGAGGGAUGCGGAAUUCCAGGUGUAGCGGUGAAAUGCGUAGAGAUCCGGAGGAACCCCAGAGGCGAAGGCGGCGCUCUGGCUCGCAACUGACGCUCAGACACGACAGCAUGGGGAGCGAACGGG